rnacentral:tRNA from 1 species
AAUAUGGUGCCUGAUUAAAGGGUAGUUUUGAUAGGACUAAUUAUGUAUGAAUGUACUCAUAUUA